rnacentral:rRNA from 1 species
UACGUAGGCGGUCUAUUAAGUCAGAUGUGAAAGCCCCGGGCUUAACCUGGGAACUGCAUUUGAUACUGGUAGACUAGAGUAUGGUAGAGGGGGUAGAAUUCCUAGUGUAGCGGUGAAAUGCGUAGAUAUUAGGAGGAAUACCAGUGGCGAAGGCGGCCCCCUGGACCAAUACUGACGCUGAGGUACGAAAGCGUGGGUAGCGAACA